rnacentral:lncRNA from 1 species
AGUUACAGCUUACGGAGGUCAUGACCUUUAAUAGGAAGGUAAGUGGAGGAUGCGGAUUAGGGUAGAGGGUUAGGGGGUGAGAGUGCACCGGUUACAGUAGGCGAGCGUUCUUUAUUGGUGUUUGAAGUUUCUUGUUCGUAGUGUUGAGUAAUGUCUAUGAUAUCGGAUAUAUAGUUUUUAGUAUUAUUUUGUGGCUGUAGUAUUAUCUUGUAGAUAGCAAGGUUAGUUUAUUUUGCAUACUGUACACAUUUAUGUUUGUGAUCGCUAUACUGUUAUCGGUCCUAAGCCGAGGGUCUAUCGGAAACAGCCUCUCUACUUCACCUACUUCACCUGAGGUAGUGGUAUGGUCUGUGUACACUCUACUCUCCCCAAACCCCACUAUGUGGGAAUACACUGGUAUGUUGUUGUUGUUAUAUACUUCUAUACCAUAAACUGUUCUUACUAUAAAGUAAUCAUGUUUUUAUGCAAAUACGUAUAGCUUACUAAGAGUUCUUAAAUUGAUUAAACCUUCAAUAUAAUCAAGUUCCCUUACCAUAAAGUGAUCCCUUAAUAAGAGUUGGAAUGCUUGGUCCUAUUUGUUAUAUGAUUGAGUACAUCUUUUUAGCCAAAACCUAUGGUGAAGAUUUGCUCCGUAAUGGAGUUAUUGUUUGUUAGGCUUAAGUUAAUCAUAUGAUUGCAAAGUUCGAUGUUUGUUUAGAAAAUUAACUUAAAGCUUUAUGACAUGACCCUAGAUAGGAAGGUCUGGAAGACGCGAAUUACGACAGAGGAUUAGGGCCUGUUCGGGUCGCUAAUGUAGGGAAGUAAUUGGUGGGGGUGUAUUCCUGGUAUGAUUCCGUAUUCAAUGUUCUGUUCCGUGUUCCGUGUUCCAUGUUUGUUACGAAUCUGUGUGCUUUCCUCUGCUUUAUAUUCCUGCAUUCCUGCUUUACUCUGUUUUAUAUUCCUUAUGGCUGCAGUAUCUAUGUUAUGUCAUCGGCUUCUGUGCUGUACUAUGUGUUUGUUUGAUAUCUCGUAACUUGAGCCGGGGGUCUUUCGGAAACAGCCUUUCUACUUCAUCAGAGGUAGAGGUAUGGACUGCGUACAUCUUACCCCCCCCAGACCCCACUAAGUGGGAAUACACUGGGUUUGUUGUUGUUGUUGUUGUUGUUGUAAGUUUGGAGAGGGAAAUAUUCAUAGUUUUAGAAUUAUUUAUCUACGCCAGUGACAUCUUCAGCUAGAGUUCCCACCCCCAGGGUUAAGCAAGAGCAGUGGGGUAAGACUUCUAUCUCCAGGUCUCAGAAUAGUGUGAGUGGAAAAUCCAGUUAUCCUCUAUGUCCUAAGUGUGGUAAGAAUCAUCUUGGUCAGUGUUUGUUGUGACAGAAAGGUUGUUAUAGUUGUGGUAAGUUGGGUCAUGAAAUCAAAGAGUGUUCGCAAGCUAAGCAGGGAAAUAGGGAUGCUCGUCCCCAGACUCAGGCUACUAGUGUACCAGCUCCUCUAGGCCGCCCAGUACCUCCUUAGGGCGUAUCAUCCAGUACUGGUAGCGGUCAGCAUCAGAAUCAGUUUUAUGCUUUACCAUCCGGUCAAGAGCAUAAGAGUUCACUAGAUGUUGUUACUGGUAUGCUUCGUGUAUUUUAUCUUGAUGUUUAUCUGUUGUUAGACCCUAAGCCAUAUUUCUCUUAUGUGACCCCCUUAGUUGCAGUAAAUUUUUAAGUAGGUCCUGAAAAGCUUUCUAAGCCCUUCUUGGUUUCUACCCUAGUGGAUGAGUCAGUUAUUGCCAAACAGAUCUAUAAAAAGUGCCCUAUCACUGUCCUUCAUAAGAUUAUGUUAGCAGAUUUAAUAAAGUUAGAUAUGGUCAACUUUGACCUUAUUCUUGAAGUGGAUUGGACCCAUUCCUGUUAUGCAUCUAUAGAUUGUCGCACCCGAGUGGUGAAGUUUUAGUUUCCAGAUGAGCCAGUCUUUAAGUGGAAAGGUAAUUCAGCGUCUCCCAAGAGUCAUUUCAUAUCUUAUCUUAAAGCCAGAAAGUUGAUCUCAAAGGGUUGCAUCUAUCAUCUAGUUUGAGUCAACGACACUAUGUCUGAGGCUCUAACGGUUCAGUCAGUCCGUGUAGUCAAUGAGUUUUCUGAAGUUUUCCCCAAAAAUUUGCCAGGGGUACCUCAUGAUAGGGAAAUAGAAUUUGGUAUUGACCUUUUCCCCAAUACUCAGCACAUAUUUAUUCCUCCAUAUCGUAUGGCUCCAACCAAGCUUAAAGAGUUAAAAGAGUAGCUUAAAGAUCUCCUAGAUAAAGGUUUCAUAAGGCCCAGUGUCUCUUUAUGGGAUACUUCCAUCCAAUUCGUGCGAAAGAAAGAUAGUUCUUUGCAAAUGUGCAUUGACUAUCGUCCUCGAUCUUGGAAUCAAUGUGAUUCUAUUUGGGUCAUUAUUGAUAGAAUGACCAAGUCUGCUAACUUUUUGCUCGUGAGGACUAAUUACUUGACAGAAGAUUAUGCUAAGUUGUAUUUUACAGAGAUCGUGAAGUUGCAUGGUGCUCUAAUUUUGAUCAUUUCGGAUCGUGGUCCUCUAUUUUCAUCCUACUUUUGGAAGUUAUUACAAAUGAGUUUGGGUACUAUAGUGUGCCUUAAUACGACUUUCCAUUAGCAAACGGAUGGACAAGCAGAGAGGACCAUCCAAACAUUGGAGGUUAUGUUGCGGGAUUGUUUGAUUGAUUAUGGUGGUAGUUGGUAUGACCACUUGCCUUUGAUUGAGUUCGCCUAUAAUAAUAGUUAC